UCUAAUUAUCUUCAAAUAUAAAACAAUCAUGAUUUCCAUGCCAAACACCAAAGAUAAGCUAAGCAAACAAGUUCCAAAUGCAGAUUUUUGAGCACAUAACUGAUUUAAUUCAAGCUAGACAUUGUAUACCUGGAAACUAAAGUAUUGGUUAAAAAAAGAAUGACCAAUUAAAGGUCAAGAAAACUAAAAGUAGUUAGAGGUUCGAAACUUCAGCAAUUACCAAGCAGAACAGCAGUUACAAAAUCAGAAAAUGAACCAGAGACUCAAAAUCAGAAGACCAAGAAUCAACUUGAAAUCCCACAGAUCUAGCUAAGAGUGUUUAUAUUUCAACGCUUGGAAGAACAAGAGAGUUUUGAUAUUUUCAAACUUUUUGAGUAUGAAGUCUUUCAGAGAAGAAAAUGAAAGCUUUUUAGAAAAUUUGC
rnacentral:lncRNA from 1 species